GGAGCCUACGGGACGCAGCAGUGAGGAAUAUUGGUCAAUGGACGCAAGUCUGAACCAGCCAUGCCGCGUGCAGGAAGAAGGUGCUAUGCAUUGUAAACUGCUUUUAUACGGGGGUAAUUACAGAUACGUGUAUCUGGAUGAAAGUACCGUAUGAAUAAGGAUAGGCUAACUCCGUGCCAGCAGCCGCGGUAAUACGGAGGAUACGAGCGUUAUCCGGAUUUAUUGGGUUUAAAGGGUGCGUCGGCGGUCAGGUAAGUUAGAGGUGAAAGCUCGAUGC
rnacentral:rRNA from 1 species